AGUGAACGCUGGCGGUGGGCCUAACACAUGCAAGUCGAACGGCAGCACAGUAAGAGCUUGCUCUUACGGGUGGCGAGUGGCGGACGGGUGAGGAAUACAUCGGAAUCUACUUUUUCGUGGGGGAUAACGUAGGGAAACUUACGCUAAUACCGCAUACGACCUACGGGUGAAAGCAGGGGAUCUUCGGACCUUGCGCGAUUGAAUGAGCCGAUGUCGGAUUAGCUAGUUGGCGGGGUAAAGGCCCACCGAGGCGACGAUCCGUAGCUGGUCUGAGAGGAUGAUCAGCCACACUGGAACUGAGACACGGUCCAGACUCCUACGGGAGGCAGCAGUGGGGAAUAUUGGACAAUGGGCGCAAGCCUGAUCCAGCCAUACCGCGUGGGUGAAGAAGGCCUUCGGGUUGUAAAGCCCUUUUGUUGGGAAAGAAAAGCAGCAGGUUAAUACCCCGCUGUUCUGACGGUACCCAAAGAAUAAGCACCGGCUAACUUCGUG
rnacentral:rRNA from 1 species